ACAACUUCGAGAGCAUCGUUAGAAACUUGCAAAGUUAAUUUUUGCUGCGGGGCAGUUAGCCGCCACAUAGUCUACCAGCUACUCUCUACAAAGCCAGCACAACGUCUGCCCAGUGUCAUCUGAGGCGAAAUCCAGUCUGUUUCACUAUCUAUAUCUACGUUAGUUGUCAACAUGGAGGAAGGCUUGAAAAUUGCACUUAGAUUUACUGCCGUUCAUUUAGACUGUCAGUUAAGGCGAGGGAGAUCCUUAACAGUUUACCUGGUUCCCCUACGGAUGAAGUUAUCCUCGAAAUGGAAAUUCGUCAAUCAUGAAAAGUCUUCAAUCUGGUGUCGCGGGGCGAGGUCAUUCGAGUCGGUGCGGGGCGGUGCGUGGCCGUU